rnacentral:lncRNA from 1 species
UUGAGUUGCUUUCUCCCCACUCCACAUCCCUCUUUUGGACCUAGCUUGUGGUGCUGGGUUCCCUGUCUGAACUGUCUUGCCAUGGGUCAGAGGGAGCUUUCUCUGAAUAAAGACGUGUGCUCAUUGAAGCUGGAGGAUGCACGGUCAGAAGCGCGAGCAUGAGGAGCUGGGUUUGCACCCCCUGCACCCAUGUCAAAGGGCAUGUCGGCACGUGUAUCACUGGUGCUGGGUGCAGGGGGCUAUGGCAGAAGGACCCAGGGGCUCACCUGCUAUCGGUCUAGCAGAGUCAGAGAGUUCCAGGUUGAGUGAGAGACCCUGUCUCAAAGAAACAAUGAUUGAUGACACCCAGUGUUGGGGUGGAAGCCUGCCUGCCUGUCUCUCUGUCUGCCUGCCUGCCUUCCGAAGCCCAUGCUGUCCUGGGUUGUGUGCUGCUGAGACUCCUGAGUUCUGUCACUGUGGUGGUUUUUUUGUUUUUUUCCUUGCCCCUCCCUCCAUCCUGAUAUUUUUGUUUGUGUCCUGGUUUUGGCAGGUACCACAAGAGCCAGGCCAUCUACCUGGAGUCUAAGGACAACCAGAAACUGAGCUGUGUGAUCAGCUCAGUAGGAGCCAAUGAGAUCUGGGUGAGGAAGACCAGCGACAGCACCAAGAUGCGGAUCUACCUGGGCCAGCUGCAGCGCGGGCUCUUCGUGAUCCGCCGGCGGUCAGCGGCUUGACUUUCUACGUGCUUCCUCUUCCCUUGACCCCUUUUCUGGAGUGGUUUUUAUUUUUGUUUUGUUU